rnacentral:rRNA from 1 species
AGAAUGAACGCUGGCGGCAUGCCUAACACAUGCAAGUCGAACGAAGCCUUCGGGCUUAGUGGCGCACGGGUGCGUAACGCGUGGGAAUCUGCCCUUGGGUUCGGAAUAACAGCGAGAAAUUGCUGCUAAUACCGGAUGAUGACGUAAGUCCAAAGAUUUAUCGCCCAGGGAUGAGCCCGCGUAGGAUUAGCUAGUUGGUGAGGUAAAGGCUCACCAAGGCGACGAUCCUUAGCUGGUCUGAGAGGAUGAUCAGCCACACUGGGACUGAGACACGGCCCAGACUCCUACGGGAGGCAGCAGUGGGGAAUAUUGGACAAUGGGCGAAAGCCUGAUCCAGCAAUGCCGCGUGAGUGAUGAAGGCCUUAGGGUUGUAAAGCUCUUUUACCGGAUGAUAAUGACAGUACCGGGAGAAUAAGCUCCGGCUAACUCCGUGCCACACGCCGC